GAUGGGAUUGCUAACAUAAGUCAGUCACUCUCUGUGUCCGAUAGCUAGCGGAUCUAUCGUGGACGCGCGCUCACAAUAUCUCCCAGAAUUAUCAGUAUUUGUGCUAUUUUUACUGCAAAAUGACGUACAAAACGAAGAUGAGGAAAACUCUGAAAGCUAAAAGCAUGCUAGCUGCCCGUAGAAGGUGCGAGCUGGCUAGAAUCCAUGGAUUACGCACUUUGACGAGUGAAGAUCGUGGAGGCCUCUCAGCCGCGAGUGUGAGGAACUUGUUGCAGACCGCUAUCCCCCCCCCCCCACAAUCCCACCCUCUGCCACCGCACAUUCUCCACCUUCUACUCCAGGUCUUACACCUGCUACUCCAGACGUUCCACCUGCUACUCCAGGUCUUCCACCUGCUACUCCAGGUCUUCCACCUGCUACUCCAGACGUUCCACCUGCUACUCCAGACGUUCCACCUGCUACUCCAGACGUUCCACCUGCUACUCCAGACGUUCCACCUGCUACUCCAGACGUUCUCGCUCUUGAUGUUGCAGGGCCCAGCACCUCAAGUGCUGUUGCAGUCGUGUAAUGGUAGAAUUUGCCAUGGCAAUGACAGCUGUCAACUAUAACGCUGGGUAUGUGAUGGGAUCACUGAACAACCUCCUCGGUCUACCACAAAGUGACGUACGGGACUGGUACUUGAACAAAAAGGACAAGGAUAUGCAGAGACCAAUGAGACCCACAACCAAACCAAGAAAGGCCCCUGAGGGAGCUGACCCCGGCUAUGGCGCAGGUGCCUACUAGUGCCACUCCAGUGCCACCUUGAGGACCCAUAUUACUGACCAAUUAUAUUAGGCGAUCUGCAUGGAACUUGCACACCUUACUGAACCCAUGCCUAUCUACAAGGGUGCAAAUUUUGAAUGAUAUCGGUCAACAUCAACCUCAGCUAAAGGUGGCUGAACUUUAACCUCCGUUUGUGCAGGCUGCGAUGCUGAAACUUGGCCCAGUUGCAGCACCUUUCACAUGUAUCAGGAUAAUAAAUUUUCAAUGCCCUACAACAACUUUCAAUUUCCAUCUAGAUGACCCCUUAA